rnacentral:rRNA from 1 species
UUACGGGGGCUGCAGUGGGGAAUAUUGGACAAUGGGCGAAAGCCUGAUCCAGCCAUGCCGCGUGUGUGAAGAAGGCCUUCGGGUUGUAAAGCACUUUCAGUGGGGAAGAAAGCCUUGGGGCUAAUACCCUCGAGGAAGGACAUCACCCACAGAAGAAGCACCGGCUAACUCCGUGCCAGCAGCCGCGGUAAUACGGAGGGUGCGAGCGUUAAUCGGAAUUACUGGGCGUAAAGCGCGCGUAGGCGGUCUGAUAAGCCGGUUGUGAAAGCCCCGGGCUCAACCUGGGAACGGCAUCCGGAACUGUCAGGCUAGAGUGCAGGAGAGGAAGGUAGAAUUCCCGGUGUAGCGGUGAAAUGCGUAGAGAUCGGGAGGAAUACCAGUGGCGAAGGCGGCCUUCUGGACUGACACUGACGCUGAGGUGCGAAAGCGUGGGUAGCAAACAGGAUUAGAUACCCGUGUAGUC